AUUAGCUUCUUGAUUAUUGAAACGUUUUACAUGUUGGUGUGAAUAACUACAUUUUUCAUCCCUGCAGGCAAUAGAAUACUACUCGGGCUGCUCUUAAUAAAUUUGAAAAGUCUGGACGUCUGCUCCAGAUGGAUCACUAUGUUACUAGUGUGAUCCUUGAAGGCACAAGACAACAAAUGUCUCGACACCAAAUGAGAAAUGUAUAUUUUCAUUUCUAUGUCAAUAUUAAGGUGGACUUUAAAUGUUUUGAUGGUGCAGUGUCUUUUGUAAAUAUCAAUGACAGUCACUGGAGGUUUGUCAAUCUUCAUGCUCCGUCAAACCAAGUGUUUGUCAUUGACCCUGCUGCUUCAGCAAUUGACCAUGAGAUCUCAAAAAAGGCUGCAAUGACUUACUGGUAAAGUAUUUCUGCCUGUGAUUUUCAAACAUACUCUGCAAUUCUGAUGAGAGCAUUCACUCAAAAUAACCAAUAUUUGCAGAUUGUAUUUCAAAAUGCGGCAAAACAUACAAGGCAGACAGCACUGGAACAGCAUUAUGUGGACAGCAGGAACCAUAAAGCACAAUGAAGAAAAGAGCAGCACAAGUUGUGGAGUGUUUUUGAUGCAGAUGGCAAGAAAGGUUGCUGAAAGUUUUCCAAAAAUUCCUGCAUCAAUGACCAUAAAUCCAACAAGCAACAGCAUAAGAAAGCUGCGGGCUGAAAUGGCAGAGACAAUGCUCCCUUCCUCAGGUAUACAUAAUACAUAAUACAAUUUUCGUAAUAUAUUUACUAUGCACACAAAACAACAAAGCUUGUCCAAUAAAGUUCACUUGUGUCCUUUGCUACUGUAGAACCAAGAGACGAGUAUUGCUCAAUGUGUGGACUCAAAGAUGUCCCAAAAACUGCAACAACUGAAGCAAUUGUUAUUGACUGG
ensembl:lncRNA